CCUACGGGUGGCAGCAGUGGGGGAUAUUGCACAAUGGGGGGAACCCUGAUGCAGCGACGCCGCGUGGGUGAAGGAGUGCUUCGGCAUGUAAAGCCCUAUCGGCAGGGAAGAAGAAAGACGGUACCUGACUAAGAAGCCCCGGCUAACUACGUGCCAGCAGCCGCGGUAAUACGUAGGGGGCGAGCGUUAUCCGGAUUCACUGGGGGUAAAGGGGGCGUAGACGGCCAUGCAAGCCAGGGGUGAAAGCCCGGGGCCCAACCCCGGGACUGCCGUUGGAACUGUGCGGCUAGAGUGCGGGAGGGGCAGGCGGAAUUCCUGGUGUAGCGGUGAAAUGCGUAGAUAUCAGGAGGAACACCGGCGGCGAAGGCGGCCUGCUGGACCGCGACUGACGUUGAGGCUCGAAAGCGUGGGGAGCGAACAGGAUUAGAUACCCGAGUAGUC
rnacentral:rRNA from 1 species